rnacentral:rRNA from 1 species
GGGUUGUGAGGUUAAGCGACUAAGCGUACACGGUGGAUGCCCUGGCAGUCAGAGGCGAUGAAGGGCGUGCUAAUCUGCGAUAAGCGCCGGUAAGGUGAUAUGAACCGUUAUAACCGGCGAUACCCGAAUGGGGAAACCCAGUGUGAUUCGUCACACUAUCAUUAACUGAAUCCAUAGGUUAAUGAGGCGAACCGGGGGAACUGAAACAUCUAAGUACCCCGAGGAAAAGAAAUCAACCGAGAUUCCCCCAGUAGCGGCGAGCGAACGGGGAGGAGCCCAGAGCCUGAAUCAGCAUGUGUGUUAGUGGAAGCGUCUGGAAAGGCGCGCGAUACAGGGUGACAGCCCCGUACACAAAAGCGCAUGUGCUGUGAGCUCGAUGAGUAGGGCGGGACACGUGGUAUCCUGUCUGAAUAUGGGGGGACCAUCCUCCAAGGCUAAAUACUCCUGACUGACCGAUAGUGAACCAGUACCGUGAGGGAAAGGCGAAAAGAACCCCGGCGAGGGGAGUGAAAAAGAACCUGAAACCGUGUACGUACAAGCAGUGGGAGCCCCACCACUAAGCCAGUGGUGAACUCCACAUACGCAUCCUUUGCUGAGGAGACGGUUAACGGAGCGAAAGCGACGUUCAACCUCAAAACAAGCAGAGGGGGCUUAGUGGUGGGGUGACUGCGUACCUUUUGUAUAAUGGGUCAGCGACUUAUAUUCUGUAGCAAGGUUAACCGAAUAGGGGAGCCGGAGGGAAACCGAGUCUUAAUUGGGCGUUAAGUUGCAGGGUAUAGACCCGAAACCCGGUGAUCUAGCCAUGGGCAGGUUGAAGGUUGGGUAACACUAACUGGAGGACCGAACCGACUAAUGUUGAAAAAUUAGCGGAUGACCUGUGGCUGGGGGUGAAAGGCCAAUCAAACCGGGAGAUAGCUGGUUCUCCCCGAAAGCUAUUUAGGUAGCGCCUCGUGAAUUCAUCUCCGGGGGUAGAGCACUGUUUCGGCUAGGGGGCCAUCCCGGCUUACCAACCCGAUGCAAACUGCGAAUACCGGAGAAUGUUAUCACGGGAGACACACGGCGGGUGCUAACGUCCGUCGUGAAGAGGGAAACAACCCAGACCGCCAGCUAAGGUCCCAAAGUCAUGGUUAAGUGGGAAACGAUGUGGGAAGGCCCAGACAGCCAGGAUGUUGGCUUAGAAGCAGCCAUCAUUUAAAGAAAGCGUAAUAGCUCACUGGUCGAGUCGGCCUGCGCGGAAGAUGUAACGGGGCUAAACCAUGCACCGAAGCUGCGGCAGCGA